rnacentral:rRNA from 1 species
GACAGAGGGUGCAAACGUUGUUCGGAAUUACUGGGCGUAAAGCGCGUGUAGGCGGCUAUGCAAGUCGCGUGUGAAACCUCCAGGCUCAACCUGGAGACGCCACGCGAUACUGGCGUGACUAGAGUUCGGUAGGGGAUCACGGAAUUCCUGGUGUAGCGGUGAAAUGCGCAGAUAUCAGGAGGAACACCGGUGGCGAAGGCGGUGAUCUGGGCCGACACUGACGCUGUAGAGCGAAAGCGUGGGGAGCGAACAGG